AAGGCCUUGCACAGAGAGAGGGAGGCGAGGGAGAGAGCUUUGGAACAGGAGAAGGCCUUGCACAGAGAGAGGGAGGCGAGGGAGAGAGCUUUGGAACAGGAGAAGGCCUUGCACAGAGAGAAAGAGGAGAGGGAGAGAGCUUUGGAACAGGAGAAGGCCUUGCAGAGAGAGAAAGAGGAGAAGGAGAGAGCUUUGGAACAGGAGAAGGCCUUGCACAGAGAGAAAGAGGAGAAGGAGAGAGCUUUGGAACAGGAGAAGGCCUUGCACAGAGAGAAAGUGGAGAGGGAGAGAGCUUUGGAACAGAAGGCCUUGCAGAGAGAGAAAGAGGAGAGGGAGAGAGCUUUGGAACAGAAGUCCUCGCAGAGAGAGAAAGAGGAGAGGGAUUGUCAUCUUCCUCCAUGGAAGCGUAGUUGUGAGUUUGGUCUUACCCCCCUGCCUACUCCUCCCCUCUCCACAGGAGCAGGUAAGAUGGCGGCAACAGAGGAGGGUGGGGAGCCCAAAGUGCCAUCCCUACCCCAAAAAGCAUUAAGAGACAACCGGCCAGCUGAAUCUGGUACGCCCCUGUCACAAUCUCUAGCAACGUCUCUGUCACCCCAGUCCUCCUUCAAGAAGUUCCGUUUCUUGAGGGACCCCAUAGUUCUAUCCCAGUCUUCUGCAUCCGGGGUCAUCAAGAGGCCCCGUACAUUCUCUGAAAGCCCCCAUCCUCAGUCCUUAGCUCUCCAGUCCCCCAGCAAACCUGGGGAACCAGAGCAGGAAGGUACUCAGCAGGGGGCCCAGCCUUCUGCUUGGCAAACAGCACCAAAGAAGCCUGCAAGUCAGGGGGUCCCUGUUUCUGGAGCAGACACGUCGGGGACGACAGGGCCAGAGAGGGAGACCCCAGUGAUUGCCACACUGGGCAAGAGUCCUGAAGAAGAAAAGGGUAAGAGCCUGGUCUCAGAGGAGCAUGUCCAAGCACAUAGAGAGGAGACAGACAAACAGGCGGUGGGAGAGAUGGCCAGAGAAGCAAACGCCCCCUCAGGUCCAGCGGGAGCUGUGCUACCUCCCUCACCCCAACCAGUGGAAGGCAAGGUAGAAAAAGGAAGGGAGAGAAGUCAAAAGAAAGAAGAAAAGCUGGGAAGACGGUCUUCCUCGUCGAAUGACUCCUCAGAUUCUGACUCAGGGUCGUCGUCCUCAGGUUCGUCUAGUUCAUCAUCGUCCCAGGGGAAAACACACACCACUCCCAGUGGUAGAAAGCCUGAGAAACCUCAGACAAACACCAUAUCCCAGGAUACGGAAACGGUUAGUCAACCUGACGAUCCAACUGAGGCCCCAAAAGCCCCACAGCAUAAAAAGCAAGUAUCUGGGGAGGAGGAAGAGGACGUAAACAUUGAUGGAGCCAGACACAGGAAGAAACCAUUCCUUGGAAUACAUGCAGGAGAAGACAAUGGGCAGAAGGACAGCGAGGGAGAGGAGGUAAAGACAGACACUACAAGGUGA
rnacentral:lncRNA from 13 species